rnacentral:rRNA from 1 species
AUUGAACGCUGGCGGCAUGCUUUACACAUGCAAGUCGAACGGUAACAGGUUAAGCUGACGAGUGGCGAACGGGUGAGUAAUGUAUCGGAACGUACCCGGUAGAGGGGGAUAACUGCUCGAAAGAGCAGCUAAUACCGCAUAUUCACUGAGGUGGAAAGCGGGGGACCGAAAGGCCUCGCGCUAUCGGAGCGGCCGAUGUCGGAUUAGCUAGUUGGUGGGGUAAAGGCCUACCAAGGCGACGAUCCGUAGCUGGUCUGAGAGGACGACCAGCCACACUGGGACUGAGACACGGCCCAGACUCCUACGGGAGGCAGCAGUGGGGAAUUUUGGACAAUGGGGGCAACCCUGAUCCAGCCAUGCCGCGUGUGCGAUGAAGGCCUUCGGGUUGUAAAGCACUUUUGGCAGGAACGAAAAGGCCUGGGCUAAUACCCCGGGCUGCUGACGGUACCUGCAGAAUAAGCACCGGCUAACUACGUGCCAGCCGCCGCCGUAA